GACGAACGCUGGCGGCGUGCUUAAUACAUGCAAGUCGAGCGGAAAGGGCCUGCGUUUGUGGGGUGCACGAGUGGCGAACGGGUGGGUAUCACGUGGGGAAACGUCCGUUGUUUUUGGGCUAACUUCAGGAGAGACGGGCUAAGACCGGGUAGGAGCGACUGCGGCAUGGUGGGGGUUGGAUAGUUUCGGCGGUAUGGGUAGGUCUCGCGGGUUCUCGGCUUCUUGGUGGGGUAGUGGCUUCCCACGUCUUUGACGGGUAGCCGGCCUGGGAGGGUGGACGGCCACAUUGGGACUGAGAGACGGCCCAGACUCCAACGGGAGGCAGCAGUGGGGAAUAUUGCACAAUGGGCGGAAGCCUGAGGCAGCAACGCCGCGUGCGGGAUGACGGCCUUCGGGUUGUAAACCGCUUUCGCCUGUGACAAAGCGUGAGUGACGGUAAUGGGUAAAGAAGCACCGGCUAACUACGUG
rnacentral:rRNA from 1 species